rnacentral:rRNA from 1 species
UACAGAGGGGGGCAAGCGUUGUUCGGAAUUACUGGGCGUAAAGGGCGCGUAGGUGGCCUUCUAAGUUGAACGUGAAAUCCCUGGGCUCAACCCAGGAACUGCGUCCAAGACUGGGAGGCUUGAAUCCGGGAGAGGGAUGCGGAAUUCCAGGUGUAGCGGUGAAAUGCGCAGAUAUCAGGAGGAACACCGGUGGCGAAGGCGGGUCUCUGGGCCGUAACUGACGCUGAGGAGCGAAAGCGUGGGGAGCGAACAGG